ACGAGUGGCGGACGGGUGAGUAAUGUCUGGGAAACUGCCUGAUGGAGGGGGAUAACUACUGGAAACGGUAGCUAAUACCGCAUAACGUCGCAAGACCAAAGAGGGGGACCUUCGGGCCUCUUGCCAUCGGAUGUGCCCAGAUGGGAUUAGCUAGUAGGUGGGGUAACGGCUCACCUAGGCGACGAUCAGUAGCCGGCUUGAGAGAGUGAACGGCCACAUUGGGACUGAGACACGGCCCAAACUCCUACGGGAGGCAGCAUG
rnacentral:rRNA from 1 species